GAUGAUUAUGACAGCUCCUCCGAUGAGAAAGCAACCCAUGAGGAAGAAGCGCAACCUCUUCGUCUCAUAUGUAUCUCUCUCGCUCUCUCUGUGUCUUUGUCUCUCCAUCCAUCCCUUCAACAUUUCACAUGUAUUACCACACAUUUUUUGGGGGAAAUGUACUUUUUCUAGAUUUACUUUGUUUUAUCUGCGAGGUUUGAUUUUGUUCAGGUUAUUGGGUAAUGUCUUGCAGGGAUAGAAAACCAGCGAUCACUCCCCUGAUUUAUUUAACCUUUAUUUAACUAGGCAAGUCAGUUAAGAACAAAUUCUUGAUGGGCCUGCCCAUCAUAGUAUCUACAAUGGCGGCGUACUUGAUCAAGUAUCUGUGUUUUUGUUUAUGUUAUAUAGUAUAACGUUGACUCCGUGUUUUAUACAGUUACCUAACUGGUAUUCUAUUUUGUCGGGGGUUAACCCCUUACACUCGUGGAAAUUGACCUAUGUGGAUAGGGCCAAAUUAAAAUGUUUUUAACAGAAGAACCAUAAAAAGAAUAUACAUUGCCUUCGGAAAGUAUUCAGAUCCCUUGACUUUUUCCACAUUUUGUUACGUUACAGCCUUAUUCACAAAUCAAAUAAAAAAAGAUCCUUUGCAAUCUACACCCAAUACCCAAUAACGACAAAGCGAAAAUAGAUGUUUUGAUUUUUUUGAAAAUGUAUUAAAAAUAAAACAGAAAUACCUUAAUGUUUACAAUGGCUGACACUUAAAUAACGUGCCAUAGAAUUCUGCGGAACCAUGCAAGCUGUGCUACAGUACGCUGCAACUUUUAAAGGAUGAACCACUAUAUCAAAAGCAGCACUAAGGUCUAGGACAGAUGCAGAGCCUUGGUCUUAUUCCAUUAAAUGGUCAUUUACCACCUUCACGAUUGCGGUCUCAGUGCUAUGAUGGGCUCUACAACCAGACUGAAGCGUUUCGUAUACGUUGUUUGUCUUCAGGAAGGCAGUGAGUUGCUGCGCAACAGUAUUGGGAGAUUCGAUAUAGGCUGAUAGUUUUUUUUCUGGGUUAAGGUUUGUUUUUUCAAAAGAGGCUGUAUUACUGCCACUUUUAGUGAGUUUGGUACACAUUUGGUGGAUAGGGAGCCGUUUAUUAUGUUCAACAUAGGAGGGCAAAGCACAGGAAGCAGCUCUUUCAGUAGUUUAGUUGGAAUAUGGUCCAGUAUGCAGCUUGAAGGUUUAGAAGCCAUGAUUAUUUUCAUCAAUGUGUCAAGAGAUAUAAUAUUAAAAAACUCGAGUGUCUCCCUUGAUCCUAGGUCCUGGCAGUGUUGUGCAGACUCAGGAAAACUGAGCUUUGGAGGAAUACACAGGUUUAAAGAGGUGUCCAUAAUAUUUAUUUCUAUUGAUCAUGAUCUUUUCAUCAAAUAAGUUAAUGAAUUUAUCACUGCUGAUAUCACUGCUCUCUUGGUGAAUACUGCUUUUAGUUAGCUUUGCGACAGGUUCAAAAAUAAAUGUAGAUUGUUCUUAUUCUCCUAAAAUAAGUUGGAAAAAUAGGAUAAUCGAGCAGCAGUAAGGGCUCUUCGAUACUGCACGGUACAGUCUUUCCAAGCUAGUCAGAAGACUUCCAGUUUGGUGUGGGGCCAUUUCCGUUCCAAUUCUCUGGAAGCUUGCUUCAGAGCUCGGGUAUUUUCUGUAUACCAGGGAGCUAGUUUCUUAUGACAAAUGUUUUUAGUUUUUAUGGGAGCUACUGCAUUUAGGGUAUUAUGCUAGUUUAAAUUUAGUUCCAAUUUUUGUACUCUGAGGUCCUUGGGUAAGUGAAGGGAGUCUGAAAGGGCAUCUAGGAAUCUUUGGGAUGUCCGAGAAUUUGUACCACGGCUUUUGAUGAUCCUUGGUUGGGCUCUGAGCAGAUUAUUUCUGUGAUUGCAAACGUAAUAAAAUGGUGGUCCGAUAGUCCAGGAUUAUGAGGAAGCACAUUAAGCUCCACAAUAUUUAUUCCAAGGAACAAAACUAGGUCCAGAGUAUGACUGUGGCAGUGAGUAGGCUCCGCAAUCCUUUUGGAAUGGGUCUGUGGACUUUUCCAUGUGAAUAUUAAAGUCACCAAAAAUGUGAAUAUUAUCUGCCAUGACUACAAGGUCCGAUAGAAAUCCAGGGAACUCAGUGAGGAAUGCUGUAAAUGUGGCAUCCCCUUAAAUGAGGAGAUGCCUCAUUUAACACAAUAAAUUAAUCAGGCUUAAGCCAUGUUUCUGUCAGGCCAAUCACAUCAAGAUUAUGAUCAGUGAUUAGUUCAUUGACUAUAACUGCCUUGGAAGUGAGGGAUCUAAUAUUAAGUAGCCAUAUUUUGAGAUGUGAGAUAUCACAAUCUCUUUAAAUAAUGACAGGACUGGGGGAGGUCUUUAUUCCAGUGAGAUUGCUAAGGCAAACACCACCCUAUCUCAUUGUGGAGUUAGAGGAGGUAGAGCCAUGUCUAUGUUCAUAGAUAAGAUGAGAGCACCCCUCCAGCUUGGCUGGAGUCCGUCACUCCUCAGCAGGCCAGACUUGGUCCUGUUUGUGGGUGAGUCCCAGAAAGAGAGCCAAUUAUCUACAAAUUCUAUCUUUUGGGAGAGGUAGAAAACAGUUUUCUGUUUAAUGUUUUCAACCAGCAAUUGAGUUGUGAUACUCUGCUGUAGAACUCAUCACUCCCCCUAUCUGGGAGGGGGCCAGAGACAGUUCUCGAUGCCUACACAUCGUUCUAGCUGAUUUACACGCUGAAGCUAUGUGGCGCUUGGUGACCUCUGACUGUUCCAUCCUAACAUCGUUAGUGCCGACGUAGAUAGCAAUAUCCCUACACUCUCUACACUCGCUAGAUUUAGCCUUAGCCAGCACCAUCUUCAUAUUAGUCUUAAUGUUGGUAGCCCUGUCCCCUGGUAAACAGUGUAUGAUCGCUGGAGGAUUCUUUUUAAGUCUAAUACUGCAGGUAAUGGAGUCGCCAAUGACUAGGGUUUUCAAUUUGUCAGAGCUAAUGGUGGGUGGCUUCGGUGUCUCAGACCCCGUAACGGGAGGAGGAGAGACCAGAGAAGGCUCGUUCUAUGACUCCGACUUCUUGCUUAACGGGGAGAACUGGUUGAAAAUUUCUGUCGGCUGAAUGAGCGACACCGGUUGAGCAUUCCUACAGCAUUUCCUUCCAGAAGCCUUGAGAAAACUGUUCGGCUGCGCGGAUUGUGCGAGGGGAUUUACACUAUUGUACUUAUUGGUGGCACAGGGGCUCUUUCAUCCUUUCCUACACUUAAAUUACAAUUGCCUAACGAUUGCGUCUGAAGCUGGGCUUGCAGCACGGCUAUCAUCACCAUAAGGUGAUCGUUCUCCUGUAUAUUAUGAGUACAGCGACUGCAAUUAGAAGGCAUAAUGUUAAUGUUACUACUUAGCUUCGUCUGGUGGAGGUCAUGUAGAACCAUGUCCAGAUAAAGCGUCCGGAGUGAAAAAGUUUAAUUUAAAAAUGUUGAGUGAGGGGAACAUUUUUUAAAUAUAAAACAGUAGUUGGAACAGAAGUUGGCAGGUCGCAAAGUAACGUUAGCAACAAACCGUACAGCAGCACGUAAAGUUCGCAAGUUGUGACCGGAAAUUACACAUCUGUCGUUUCUCUUUGCUUAUUUGAGUUGUUCUUGUCAUAAUGUGGACUUGGUCUUUUACCAAAUAGGGCUAUCUUCUGUAUACCAAACAACCCUACCUUGUCACAACACAACUGAUUGGCUCAAACAGAUUAAGAAGGAAAGAAAUUCCACAAAUUAACUGUUAACAAGGCACACCUGACCUCUUAAGGAUCAGAUACUUCAUCUCAAUUUCCGUCUAAAAUGACAGACCCAAAUCUAAAUCAAGCUGAGGACAUGAAGCAAGAACAUGAAUAUUCUUGAUACUAUUUGAAAGGAAACACUUUGAAGUUUGUGGAAAUGUGAAAUUAAUGUAGGAGAAUAUAACACAUAUCUGGUGAAAGUCACAGCCAACAAACGUGUUUUCUAUAUAUUUUUUUGCAUCUUUGCAAUGCAAAGAAAGGCCAUACAUUUACCUAGGAAGCUGGGUGUAAUUGUGAUGUUGUCCACAAAAGGGUGGCAUUGUAUGUGCAAAGUUUCAGACUGAUAUGUUCAAGAAUGAGAGCUCAACUUUAUAUUUUCUCCCAGAUGUCCCUCACGAGUUUGCCCAGAUGUACACAAGUGGCCGAAUUGGUCACUUGAUACAUUUCCAAGCAUUUCCAAACAUUUAAGUUUACACUGACAAUAUCACUUGAUAAUUUAAAUCACUCAAGGAUAUGGUGGAAGCCUCCAACACGUCUAUCUUAAAACUCUCAAAUGACAUUUCCAGCCAAUCGGUCACAUGCAAGUCUCUGGAGCAGCUCUGUGAUGAGAUGCAGGUUAGCGCCAGGGCUGCUACAGAUGACGUAGCCACCUGCCGAGAUGCAGUGAAGCAACUGCGAGAUAAAAUUACGUUGCAUGAAGACAGAGAGAAGAGAGUGAACAUGCGUCUUGUGGGUCUGAAAGAAACGGCAGAAGGUUCUGACCCAAAAGGUUUUCUUCAGGAGAAUCUACCAAAAUGGAUACCGUUGCUACAGUGGUUCCUCCUUUAAAAGUUGCGUCAUACUGUGGCACACCUUGCGGGCUGCUGCAGCAUUCUGUGGCACGUUAUCUAUUUGUCAGCAACUUUUCUGUUAAUGCUUACACUAUUGCUAGUUUGACCACUAGAGGGCAUCUUUGAGAUUCAUUUGAUAGUCUUCCAUAUUGGCAUUAACAGAGAAUUUAAAACCUUUUUUGUAAUAACGUAGUAUAUGAGAUUGAUCUAAGAAAUUUGGCUUAAUUUGAUUAAUAUUAUGGUGUUUCUAUUCCGAGAAAGGGAAGGAGUCGGCUGUCCAUGUAAAUAGGAAUUUGUUCUUAACUGACUUGCCUAGUUAAAUUACGGUUACACUAAGAGCAUAACAUUUCUGUACCCUAAUUUUCUAAUUCUUAUCUAACCAAUACCCAAAUGGGGAUUAAGUGAAAAUAAAAAAUCUAAUUGAUUUGUCAAGACCUGUCUCCGUGCUUGCCUCAGAGCAGUGCGAAACGUUUUCUUCUUUUGCUUCUAACUUCAAUAUGCUCUUUAAUUAAAUAAAUAAGACCUACACUAAUUUUAACAGCACAUUACUCAACACAAGUGAGACUCAUUUCACCUAUGGUAGGCCUACAGUAUAUCGAUUUAUCUAUUUUCAAUGAUGUGACUAUACGCCAAUAAUUACAUUUAGAGGAUUGGAGGACUCUAAAUUAAAAUCUAAGGGGCAUUUUCCAUUAGGAUCUGUGAGAGUAUCUGAGAAUAUCUAAGGGGCUUUUAUAUCAUUCUUAAUUAAUUAAUUAAAUAAUAAUAAUAACCGCUUUGUUUAAAAAGUAACAAUAUUUUGGAGCUUUCCUUUUCAUUUAAACCUAGAGUGAGCUAGGAAAAAGGCAGUUCUUGAACAUGGGGUAAGACAUUCUCACUAAUUUGUAAAUAAAGCCAGUUUGUUAUUUAGAAAGGUUUCUCCAGAAAUAAAUCACACUAUUAUUUAGCAGACAUCACUUGCUUAUAUUCAUGAAGAUGAUGAGCGAUCGGCAAAGGCAAUCUGUAAUCUGCUGGCAUCACGGCACGACAUCGCUCUAAUUACAGUCAGAAGACAGUUGAAGAACCUUGCGUGGACUUGGAAAGGCUUAGUAAAAAAAAUAUGUAUAUAUAUUUUUUAAUUAUCAUAACAUUAACCAUGUGCGUUCGCUUAUUUUGUACUGUUCUGUAGUUUCGACCCAAUGAUUCAUCUGACAAACAAAGAACUUUGCGUCCUACAGGCCCAGGCAUGGAUCAAAGCUGAUGAGACAUUCAAUAAUGUUAUCUUCACAGACGAAUCAACCGCGGCCCUUGAGCAAUUUGCUCAAAAUCGCUACAGAAAAAAAAGGAGAUCAAGCAAGCCGAGUCCCAAGCAUCCGCUCAAACUCCAUGUGUGGGGGGCAAUUUCUCGCCAGGCAAUUUCUCGUCAGGCACCAGGCCCAUAUUGGAUUUUUGAUGAUAUCAUGGCUCGAGAUUUCUUUGAGGACUGUCAGAGAGGUGUUUCUGGGUACACAUCGUUUCUUUCAAGACAAUGACAUAAAACACGGGUUUGCAUUGCAAAUGAGGCCAUAAACUGGGUCAAGUCGCCAGCAGAGU